ACUGCAGCCUCCAACCAGGGGCAAGGAUGGCCACCACAAUUUUCAAUGCACUCACAGUAACAUAAAACAAAAUUAUGUUCAGACCAAAUGUGUCAAUGUUCAUGGUUUCAGAAGGAAAGCAUUAAAAUAAAGAUAAUGAGAAUUUGAAAGUUCACCAGAAAGUCAGAAACAAGGCUACUAUUCCUUUGCUACCAGGAAGUGAAUACCCAACAUCCAGAAUGUGAAACAGAAGAAAGCUGUAGGAUGAGGAACAGCAAAGAAGAGGAUGUGAAGUAGAAUCACAAAAGGCUGAGAAAGAGAAGGAGACUUGUGUACACCUUGAUAUGGAAUGGAAGAAUAUCAUUUUCUCUUUUUCUUGGCCUCCAGGAAAGAAAACCCAGUUCAAUCUGUGUAACCCAAAGGAUGAGAGUUAAAUCCAAUGUAAUUAAUUGAAAUUAUUUUAUUUGCAACUGUAAUUUUGCGUUGAGCUUUUUUCUAGUGCUAAAGACUAGACCUAAUGAGCAACCCUUCUAAUUCGUUUAGCAAAAAGGGAUAUGUGCAUACCUUUGAAUUUGAUAUAAUUGCCACAAUGUUUAAACCCCUUGUCUGCAGGAGUUUUGCUAGAAAAUAUUUAAUUCUUGACCUUCCUGAUGAUCCAAGUUUGUUUUCCCCUCACCCAAGCACCGCCAGAGGAAGAAGUACUAGCACUCCACUGAGAGUAAGAGGAAAACAACAGAUUUUCCAUACCAAAACAAACUGACUUCUAGCUACUCAAAGAGACAUAAAAUAUCCAAAACUGCAGACUUAUAAACAAAGCAUGGAUAAAAACUCCUUAUGAAAACAGUGCCAUCACCAUAAACAUUGUUAACUAAUGUAUCUAUUUGUCAAAUAUAACUUCCAUGAGGUUAUACCAGACACACUGAAAGACUGCCACUACCCCUCAGGUCUCGGUCGCUCAUGAUUAACAGCACCCACAUAUACAACCAGCUAAUCAAGAUCUAAUUUUUUUUUCUACAGCAUGACAAGAAGGAUGAAGAGAAUACAGUUGAAAUGCUUUACUCUAAAGUCAUGUAAGUUUUAUGAAUAGUAUUUUUUUUUUGCCAACUUGAACUGUAAAGCUUCUCCUUUAUCAGUGACCUCGUAUCCUGACAUUUAUUCACAUUUUCAGAUGAAUCUAGACAAAGCACAGCAACAAACACAACCUUUUGAAGAAACACUAGCACCAUUUCCAAGACUCAUGAGCUAUGAAUUGAUGGAUUCAUGUUCACUUUACACUCCAGGUUACACACAAUUGACUACAUUUUGUGGUGGAGCAGCUUCAGGCUCUUCUCCUGCUUCAGGAUCCCAGAUACUAGAUCUGAUCCUACGAACCAUCACACUGGUAUUUGAGAUGCCUGAACAGGGAAGAGGCCUCCUGUUGCACAACAGUGGAGAGAUGAGGUAUUCAGCAGAGCAAUUUGUGCCCAGAAGCCACCUCAGUAUGGCUCCCUGGCUGUGCCUGCACAGCACAGAUGUGCUGGGUGUGGAGAUCAGCAAAGCCUGCAUGUGGCACUGGGUGCACCCCUUUCAUGGUAUGCGAUACCUUGGUCUAACACCCAGACAUGACACACAAUCCACAUGUGAAUUCCUGUAGAAUGUUAUGGAGACAGGAAAAGGUCAAGAGAUUUGCUGCAAAGUUUAGAUUUGAGAACUCUUUUUUUUUUUCCUAGAGAAAUGGAAAUUAAGUAUUAAAGUAGUAGAGAAGAUAUACCACCCCUUCCCUCCUCAUUAUCUCAUGGUUCAGAGCAGCCACAUGAUUCUCUUUAUCUAUGGUCCUAGCACAAAAUCCACCUCUUGCAACUCAAACAUAACUAUUUCAGUAAAUAUUACAUCAAAUCUCACAGCUGUAAUGACAAAACACGAGAAGAAAUACCACAAUCUUUUUCUCUAUUAUUUUUCUGUAUGAAGUAAUGCAAAAUUAGGGAACAUAAUACCACUCCUACCAACUUUAUGCCCUUUUGUAAUUCCCUCCUCAAAUUUCAGAAAAAUCAUUCUCCAGAUGCCAAGCAUUGCACAGGGUUACAGAAGGUCUAGGUGUCUGCAUAUCCCUCCAAGUAAAAUGAAUUUGCAACGGAAUUUGUCAUUUUUAAUUCUCUAAUAGGUUGCUGGGAUAUUAUCAGUAUUCUUCCUGAUUUAAAAUUAAAAGCCGGCAAGCUCACAGAAACACUACCUGCUCACACACACCGAGACAAUGUUUGAUGUGUUUCUACUCCAGGGCAGAAAAUAAUUGAUUUUCAAAAUCUUGCUUGCAUUGAUGAGUGGUCAGGGAGUCUUCACCCCAAUGCAGACGUAUUAGCAGAAUGUGUAAGAGGAAAUGAUUUUGGCUAUCACUGCUGAUAAGAUUUUAUCAGUAUUCUCCACUCAAUAUAUGUUAUCAGCCUUUGAUU
ensembl:lncRNA